rnacentral:miRNA from 2 species
AAACACCAUUGUCACACUCCAC